rnacentral:rRNA from 1 species
UACGUAGGUGGCGAGCGUUGUCCGGAUUUACUGGGCGUAAAGAGCGCGCAGGCGGUCGUACAAGUCGCGUGUGAAAGCCCCCGGCUCAACUGGGGAGGGUCACGCGAUACUGUUCGACUCGAAGGCAGGAGAGGGAAGUGGAAUUCCCGGUGUAGUGGUGAAAUGCGUAGAUAUCGGAAGGAACAUCAGUGGCGAAAGCGGCUUCCUGGACCAGCACCGACGUUCAGGCACGAAAGCGUGGGGAGCAAACAGG